UACGUAGGGGGCUAGCGUUGUCCGGAAUCAUUGGGCGUAAAGCGCGUGUAGGCGGCCCGGUAAGUCCGCUGUGAAAGUCGGGGGCUCAACCCUCGGAAGCCGGUGGAUACUGUCGGGCUCGAAUCCGGAAGAGGUGAGUGGAAUUCCUGGUGUAGCGGUGAAAUGCGCAGAUAUCAGGAGGAACACCAAUGGCGAAGGCAGCUCACUGGGACGGUAUUGACGCUGAGACGCGAAAGCGUGGGGAGCAAACAGG
rnacentral:rRNA from 1 species